CAAUAGUUUUUUAAUUGAAAGCUGGAAUGAAGGGUUGGAUAAAAAAAUAACUGUUUCUAUUUAAUUUAAUUAGAAUUUUAUAUUUAAGUUAAAAAGCUUAAAUUUUGUUAAAAGACGAGAAGACCCUAUAGAGUUUAAUAAAUAAUUAUAUUAUUAUAUUUAGAAUUAAUUUUAUUAGUUAUAUUAUUUAUUUAAUUGGGGUGAUUAAAAAAUUCAAAUAACUUUUUUUAUAUUAUAACAUUUAUAGAUGAAUAUUUGAUCCAUGGUUAAUGAUUAAAAGAUAAAAUUACCUUAGGGAUAACAGCGUUAUUUUUUUUUAGAGUUCAAAUCGAAAGAAAAGAUUGCGACCUCGAUGUUGGAUUAAAAUAAAUUUUUGGUGUAGAAGCUAAAAUAUUAGGUCUGUUCGU
rnacentral:rRNA from 1 species